UCCUUCAAGGAGAAGAUCCGCCAUGUUGGUUGUUUCUUUCCUCUUUCUUUCCGAUUCAAGCCCUUUCGACAACAAAAGAUAGAAGCGAACGCCAUAUCUAGCUUCACCAACCAAAACCCACUACUCUGUAUUCUUUAUUUCUCUCUCCAAUCCUUUCUUGUCUUGUUGGGCAGUUAUAUUUUCUCUCUUGCUCUCGCUCUCUAUAUAUUCUUGGUGUUAUUACAGUGGCA
rnacentral:misc_RNA from 1 species